UACGUAGGGUGCGAGCGUUGUCCGGAAUUACUGGGCGUAAAGAGCUCGUAGGUGGUUUGUCGCGUUGUUCGUGAAAUCUCACGGCUUAACUGUGAGCGUGCGGGCGAUACGGGCAGACUGGAGUACUGCAGGGGAGACUGGAAUUCCUGGUGUAGCGGUGGAAUGCGCAGAUAUCAGGAGGAACACCGGUGGCGAAGGCGGGGUCUCUGGGCAGUAACUGACGCUGAGGAGCGAAAGCGUGGGGGAGCGAACAGG
rnacentral:rRNA from 1 species